rnacentral:lncRNA from 1 species
GAAAAGGACAUUUAAGAUAUAAUUUUCAAAAGAUGACCCAGCAUGACCCAGCAAAUAGGUACCAAAACCCUAACCCUAACCCCGCAAAAAAAGGGAGAGGGGUCUGUCUGCAGCCUGCAAGAGAGGGGCGUAACCUGUAGUGGGCGUAACGUGUAGUGUGGGCGUAACGUGUAGUUGUGUAAAUCACGUUGAACCACGCGAGAUGUAGAAUGAGACCCGCCAAAAGCAAGAACAGAACAAGGAAAUACACAAGAGAUGUCUCCAAAACGAAAAAUGGCGAUCGUAUCCAGACUGUGACAGUCUACACCCUGGUUGAAAAGUACACAUUGACAGUGCCAGAGGCUGUGGCCAGGUUCAGAAGAGGCCCACAAUAUGAACCAUGGUAAGAUUAAUAUAUAAAGAAUUGAUGAUAGACAUAUUUCAAUGUGUAAUGAAAUAUACCCAUUCUCAUAAAGAAUAUUGCAACAUCUACUUGAAACCUUUCAUUUAAUGUUUGUUCUUUUUUUGACAGUGAAUUGGAAAUGAUGCAAGCUGACUUGAUGAAACAUUUAUAAGAGGAGGCAACAGAGAAGCUACAAGCCUAUAAAGAUAGAAUGUGAAGAGCCCUCUCCUCUGAGGCAUAUCUUAGCCAGCUAUAAGGUGUAAUAUCUUCACAGAUUGACUUUUUUUUUUCUUUUGACUCCUCCAAGGAAAUGUGUCACAGCCCUACGGGGGCCUCUAACCAUUCUCUUCUGUUUAACUCAAAACUGUACUAAAUGGUGCAUUUGUUGGGGACUGUUUUCUGCGGUGGAGUAAUACACAGUGUGUGUUAGACUAGAGCAGUGCACACUUACAAACUGUAGAGUAUGUAUCAAAUGUGAGUAUGUGUGCAUACAUAUGUAUAAACUUAAAUUUUAUACAGGAUAUUGUAAUCGUUUUGUAAUGUAUAUGCAAUUGGUCUGUUUCAUUUCAUAGUUCCAUCAGCAUCAUUUGGCUCCAUAAAACUUGAGACAAAAUGCUGAAAGGCAUUACAGUGUGCAUCACUGCCUGAGUUGGAUGUAAAGAAAAAAAGAGCUAAUCCUUGCAUUUGAACAGCCAUGUUAUUAACUGUUUUAUAAGUGUCCAGUACAAGCAACCGUUCAUCAGGUACAGGUACAUGACAUUUAACUGUUGAUGCACUUUGUUAAAGUCAAAUCACACAACACUUAACAAGUAUUUCCUAACAGGAGAAGCAUUUAUAUUUACACAAGUCUAGGC